AGAGUUUGAUCCUGGCUCAGGAUGAACGCUGGCGGUAUGCCUAACACAUGCAAGUCGUACGAGAGUUUUUAACUCUAGUGGCGGACGGGUGAGUAACACGUGAGAAUUUGCCUUUAGGAGGGGGAUAACAAUUGGAAACGAAUGCUAAUACCCCAUAUGCUUUCGAGUGAAAUGAAUUUUUUAUUUGCCUAAAGAGAAGCUCGCGGCUGAUUAGCUUGUUGGUAAGGUAAGAGCUUACCAAGGCGACGAUCAGUAUCUGGUUUGAGAGGACGAUCAGACACACUGGAACUGAGACACGGUCCAGACUCUUACGGGAGGCAGCAGUGGGGAAUUUUCCGCAAUGGGCGAAAGCCUGACGGAGCAAUACCGCGUGAGGGAAGAAUGCCUAUGGGUUGUAAACCUCUUUUUUCAGGGAGGAAUAAAUGACGUGUACCUGAAGAAUAAGCAUCGGCUAACUCCGUGCCAGCAGCCGCGGUAAG
rnacentral:rRNA from 1 species